GCAGUGUUUGAAUCCAUCAGCGAGGAAAAAUGGGCAAGAUUGGUUUUCAGCCUGGCCACCUGGAAGUGCUGAGGGAAGACUACAGGGAAGAGAACAAACAGUGACCAAUCUUUGCUAAACACAUCUUCCCAGCUCCCAGCUGU
rnacentral:lncRNA from 1 species